rnacentral:tRNA from 1 species
GAAAUAUCUAAUGUAAGCUUCUAACUUACUAAUAGCAUAAAUUUGUUAAUAUUUCU